UACGGAGGAUGCAAGCGUUAUCCGGAAUGAUUGGGCGUAAAGCGUCCGCAGGUGGCAAUGUAAGUCUGCUGUCAAAGCGUCUGGCUCAACCAGAUAAAGGCAGUGGAAACUACAUAGCUAGAGUAAGGUAGGGGUAGAGGGAAUUCCUGGUGUAGCGGUGAAAUGCGUAGAUAUCUGGAGGAACACCGGUGGCGAAGGCGGCAUCCUGGACCGGUAUUGACGCUGAGGAGCGAAAGCCAGGGGAGCAAACGGG
rnacentral:rRNA from 1 species